GACAGAGGGGGCAAGCGUUGCUCGGAAUUACUGGGCGUAAAGGGCGCGUAGGCGGUCAGCACAAGUCAGUUGUGAAAUCUCCGGGCUUAACUCGGAAAGGUCAACUGAUACUGUGCGACUAGAGUGCAGAAGGGGCAACUGGAAUUCUCGGUGUAGCGGUGAAAUGCGUAGAUAUCGAGAGGAACACCAAUGGCGAAGGCAGCUCGCUGGGACGGUACUGACGCUGAGACGCGAAAGCGUGGGGAGCAAACAGG
rnacentral:rRNA from 1 species